rnacentral:rRNA from 1 species
UACGAAGGGGGCUAGCGUUGCUCGGAAUCACUGGGCGUAAAGCGCACGUAGGCGGAUUUCUAAGUCAGGGGUGAAAUCCUGGAGCUCAACUCCAGAACUGCCUUUGAUACUGGGAAUCUCGAGUCCGGGAGAGGUGAGUGGAACUGCGAGUGUAGAGGUGAAAUGCGUAGAUAUUGGGAGGAACACCAGUGGCGAAGGCGGCUCACUGGACCGGUACUGACGCUGAGGCGCGAAAGCGUGGGGAGCAAACGGG